UACGUAGGGUGCGAGCGUUAAUCGGAAUUACUGGGCGUAAAGCGUGCGCAGGCGGUGAUGUAAGACCGAUGUGAAAUCCCCGGGCUUAACCUGGGAACUGCAUUGGUGACUGCAUUGCUGGAGUAUGGCAGAGGGGGGGUGGAAUUCCACGUGUAGCAGUGAAAUGCGUAGAGAUGCGGAGGAACACCGAUGGCGAAGGCAGCCCCCUGGGCCAAUACUGACGCUCAUGCACGAAAGCGUGGGGAGCAAACAGG
rnacentral:rRNA from 1 species